rnacentral:rRNA from 1 species
CCCUUAGAUGUUCUGGGCCGCACGCGCGCUACACUGAUGCUUUCAACAAGCCUAGCCUUGACCGAGAGGUCCGGGUAAUCUUUGAAACUGCAUCGUGAUGGGGCUAGAUUAUUGCAAUUAUUAAUCUUCAACGAGGAAUGCCUAGUAAGCGUGAUUCAUCAAAUCGCGUUGAUUACGUCCCUGCCCUUUGUACACACCGCCCGUCGCUCCUACCGAUUGAAUGUGUUGGUGAGGAGCUCGGAUUGGCAGCAGUUGGUGGUUCGCCACCGGCUAUUGCUGAGAAGUCCUCCAAACCGCCCCAUUUAGAGGAAGGAGAAGUCGUAACA